rnacentral:rRNA from 1 species
AGAGUUCGAUCCUGGCUCAGGACGAACGCUGGCGGCACGCUUAACACAUGCAAGUCGAACGAGAGAAGAGGAGCUUGCUUUUCUGAUCUAGUGGCGGACGGGUGAGUAACACGUGAGCAAUCUGCCUUUCAGAGGGGGAUACCGAUUGGAAACGAUCGUUAAUACCGCAUAACAUAAUUGAACCGCAUGAUUUGAUUAUCAAAGAUUUAUCGCUGAAAGAUGAGCUCGCGUCUGAUUAGCUAGAUGGUAAGGUAACGGCUUACCAAGGCGACGAUCAGUAGCCGGACUGAGAGGUUGAUCGGCCACAUUGGGACUGAGACACGGCCCAGACUCCUACGGGAGGCAGCAGUGGGGAAUAUUGCACAAUGGAGGAAACUCUGAUGCAGCGAUGCCGCGUGAGGGAAGAAGGUUUUAGGAUUGUAAACCUCUGUCUUCAGGGACGAAAAAAGACGGUACCUGAGGAGGAAGCUCCGGCUAACUACGUGCCAGCAGCCGCGGUAAUACGUAGGGAGCGAGCGUUGUCCGGAAUUACUGGGUGUAAAGGGAGCGUAGGCGGGAUCGCAAGUCAGAUGUGAAAACUAUGGGCUUAACCCAUAAACUGCAUUUGAAACUGUGGUUCAUGAGUGAAGUAGAGGUAAGCGGAAUUCCUAGUGUAGCGGUGAAAUGCGUAGAUAUUAGGAGGAACAUCAGUGGCGAAGGCGGCUUACUGGGCUUUAACUGACGCUGAGGCUCGAAAGCGUGGGGAGCAAACAGGAUUAGAUACCCUGGUAGUCCACGCCGUAAACGAUGAUUACUAGGUGUGGGGGGACUGACCCCUUCCGUGCCGCAGCAAACGCAAUAAGUAAUCCACCUGGGGAGUACGACCGCAAGGUUGAAGCUCAAAGGAAUUGACGGGGGCCCGCACAAGCAGUGGAGUAUGUGGAUUAAUUCGAAGCAACGCGAAGAACCUUACCAGGUCUUGACAUCGUAUGCAUAGCUCAGAGAUGAGUGAAAUCUCUUCGGAGACAUAUAGACAGGUGGUGCAUGGUUGUCGUCAGCUCGUGUCGUGAGAUGUUGGGUUAAGUCCCGCAACGAGCGCAACCCUUACUGUUAGUUGCUACGCAAGAGCACUCUAGCAGGACUGCCGUUGACAAAACGGAGGAAGGUGGGGAUGACGUCAAAUCAUCAUGCCCCUUAUGACCUGGGCCUCACACGUACUACAAUGGCUGUCAACAGAGGGAAGCAAAGCCGCGAGGUGGAGCGAACCCCUAAAAGCAGUCUUAGUUCGGAUUGUAGGCUGCAACCCGCCUACAUGAAGUCGGAAUUGCUAGUAAUCGCAGAUCAGCAUGCUGCGGUGAAUACGUUCCCGGGCCUUGUACACACCGCCCGUCACGCCAUGGGAGUCGGUAACACCCGAAGCCUGUAGUCUAACCGCAAGGAGGACGCAGUCGAAGGUGGGAUUGAUGACUGGGGUGAAGUCGUAACAAGGUA